rnacentral:lncRNA from 1 species
CAGAAUCAAAAUCCCUAACUCACCUCCACCUCCACCGACAGCACUGCUCACCAGUCACCAGUCACCAGUCACCAGUCACCAGUCACCACAUUCAUCUCCACCUUCCACCUGCUUCCUCUGUCGUCGGCGCCCACCUGAUUUCCUCAACCGAGUCAGGUAAGAAAUAUCAUUUUCACUUUCUUUUUGUUUGGUCACUGAGAAAAUGAAGGAAAGUUUUGGUUCUGUUUUAUAUUCCCCUGCUUUAUUCACUCUGUUUAAAUACAAAAAAUGGGGAGAGGAGAUAGCUAAGUGCAUGACAUAAAUAGCAUAGAAAGGAAAUGGCAUGGGUUGAAACAUAAGUUCUUUUUUGUAGUUAAAUUGAUAAGUGAGAAUUAAUAAAACGAUAUUUUAAGAAAUAUGAUUUGAUUCAUGAAAAAGGUUGAAAUAUGGAUAGGUUUUUAAACAUCUUUGUUGGUUUGCUGGCUUCUUAUACAGCUUCCUUCAGAUUCGAAGAAAUGGGUAAUAAAAACAUAAAAUGAAUAAACAAAAAACACAAUACUAAAUUAUCUUUUGAGAUUAUAUUUAUGUUUUUUUGGGGUUUUUAAUAUUACUUUUAAUAAUUUUAGGUGUUAAAAGGGUGUUCUGUUCUUUCAAUGUAUGUUUUUUGGACACUAGCAUGAUCCAAAAAGUUGCCUCUCUUCAUAUAUAUAUAUAUGUAUAUAUUUUUUCCUUUAUUUUCCCUUCCUCUUACUUUCUUCUUAUUCUUCUUCUUUGUGCGCUAAUGAUUUUUUUAUCUGCUUCUGUGUCGGCCAAUGAGUAAUUUAUUGAUUGAAUCCUUGAAAGAAAUUGCACACCCAAAGAAGAUUCAUCAUUGUUUUCCUUCUUUUUUUCCCCUAGAUAUCCUCUUUGGGUCUUUAUAGGAGGAGAAUUUGGAGGAAGUUCUGAUUACAGGAACUUUGUGUGUUGUUAGUUGCUCAGAGUUUUUGGGGUUUCUUUAUGGGGUCAAAGAGACUGUAAGAUUAGUAGAGAACUCUUUUUUUUGGGGUGUGUACGUUUAGUUUCUGGGUUUCUUUUUUCCCUGUUUUUAAUGAAUCUUAAUUUUUGUAGUAAAGUUUUGAUGGUGAACUCAAAACAUGGUGAAUUGAACAGUUGUCUCUUUUCUUUUCUUUUUUUCUCUCUUUUAGUUUCUGAUUUUUUUACCAUUAUUUUAUGUUGAAAAUUUGCAAAAGUACAAAUGUUUGUACCCUUUUUUGGAAGUAUUAUGGGUAGCAAUAAAGAAAAGUAAUCAGGAGAGGAAUCGGGUGCCUGAUUACAGUGUUGCUCAAUAAUUUGAAGCCAUUGUGGGAGAGGAUGGAACCAACUAAGGAAAGUAAAGAAAUUUUGUUGUUCUGGUUCAAUGUUUCCUUUAAUGGCUUUUUUUAAGUAAUAAAGGAUAUCAUGGGUGUCGAACUGUAUGGCAAUAUGGUAGAGAUGGUUGAAGUACCAUAAAAAUCAUUUUAAUUCAUUUGGUUGUUUAACAAAUCUAAACCUUAUUGGGUGUACGAAAGGAUAAUACGGAUAAAUACCCCAAGGUUUAAGAAUAAGUCCCCCAAAAUUCUUGAAAACUUGAAUCUGAUACUCAAACAUCAUGUCUCUAGCUUUCUGAUGAAAAUAAUUUCUUUUUACAAGAGUAAAAACUUCUGGAGGAUAUUUAGGAUAGAGAUUAGGAGUGACAGUGUAAGGGGUAAGAGAGGUAGAUGAUGAGGAAUAGGGUCGAUACAUCAUAAUUGGUCUAGGCCAAAAAAUUCUUUUAUAGGCGAAGACUUCUAGAUUUUCUUUGGGUCUAGAAAGUAGAUCAACAAGAACAUUUUGCUUUCCAGGUAUAUGUUUGACAUCAAAACUAUAUUCAGAAAACCAUUCUGCCCAUCUUAAAAGUUGUAGGUGAGGGACAGUUUUCUGUUUGAACUUGAGCAUUUGUGGAAAUGAAGACAUAUCCAUUUCUACCAAAAAAUGAUAACCUAGAAGAUAGAAUUUGAAUUUUGCCAUACCUUUCUUGACUGCAAGGAUCUCUUUGAAUGUGGAGUGGUAAUGAAUUUCUAGUUCUGAGAAUCUUCCACUCUUGUAUCCAUAGAGUUGUCUUUUGUCAUUUCUUUUUUCAAGCAAGAUUGCUCCCCAAUAUUUAUCACUGGCGUGUGUCUGUAGAAUUUUUUCUCCAUCUGAGGGGAUUUGAAGUGGAGGCAAAUCCUGGGUAAUUUCUUUCAAUUUUUGGAGGGCUUUUGUCUGAGAAGAAGACUAUGGAGGAGGGUCUUUUUUGAGUAGCUUUUGCAGGGGAUUAAUAUACUUAGAAACUUUAGGGAUAAAAUCUCUAAGAUAAUUAACAAUCCGAAUGAAUUGUUGGACCUGCUUGAAAGACAAAUCUUUUGAAGGAAAUUUAAGAAGUUCUUGAGUAAUGUGUGGUCCUGGAGAAUAUUUUCCUUCUUUGAUAUCCAUUCUGAGAAACUGAAUUUCUGAUUUGUUGAUCUGCAUUUUUUUUCUGACAGCAUUAUCCCAUAUUUGAAAAUAAGGGAUUUGAAUUCUUCAAGGAGUUAUGCAUGAGAAUCCACAUCUUUGCUGUAGAGCAGAAUGUCGUCGAUGUAUACUAAAGCAUUUUCCAUCAAAGGAUGAAAAAUCUUUAUCAUUGCUUUCUGGAAUAGAGAAGGAGCAAUCUUUAAUCCAAACGACAUGACUUUCCACUGAAAAUGUCCAUUAGGAAUACAAAAUCCUGUUUUUGGUCUGUCAUCAGGAUGAAUUCCUAAUUGCCAAAAACCUGCCUUGAGAUCAAACUUAGAGAAAACUCUUGCUUUGGCUAGACUUGAGAAGAGUAAGUCUUUCUUUGGAAGAGGAAAUUUGUCAUCUUAGAGGAAAUGAUUAAGAGGCUGAUAAUUAAUUACCAGUCUUAACUUUCCUCUGAUCUGUUCAGAUCUUUUAUUUACAUAAAAGGCUUCACAUGCCUAUUGAGAAUCUGAGGGUUUAGUCAAAUCUUGAUGCAGUAACUCUUUACAUUCCUUUUCUGCUAGCAUCAGAUGAUCUGGAUUCAUUCCCUGGUGGCUGGCCUUUGUUGGAUUGAUGUCUUUAUUUUUCUUGAAAGGGAGUUUAAUGAAGAAAUCUAGGUUUUUCCACAAAGGGUUUGAGCAUUUAUUCAGGAAUUCAGAAUGAGAUUCUGCACAAGAUUGGGCUUUUAAUUCUUGGAUAAUGUGAAGGAUUUUUUAGGUUAAAUGACAAAGUUUUGGGAUUCUAACAAAGGGUUGGAAAAGAUUUUGAAUCUUACUCAUUCAGGGAGUAUUCUAAGAUGCUGUGCUUUUUUGUAGAGGUCAAAGCCUACUACAAUAUCUUUUCCAAGGAGUUUUGAUCCCAAUACUGUGGUUUUCACACAACAGCUUGGGAAGAAUUGGAUAGUAAUUGGUUUGCUUAUCAUAUGAGUAGCAAAAGAAACAUCAGCAGCAGAAUCAAAAUACCUUAUGUGGGGUUUCCACCAUUCUGGAGGUAAAAUGUCUGCGUUCAUGAUUGUUUCUGCUGCGCCGGUGUCUAUGAAGGCAAUUAUAGUAAUGGGCUUACUAUAUUUGUCUAAAUAGAUCUUGACAGGUACAUGAGGAACUGGGACUGUGUUAAUGGUCCUGUCAAUAGUCUGAGUUUUGGCUUAUAUCAUCUGUAUAUCGGAAUAGUCCGAUUCUGGUUCUGAAGAAUCACAAGCAGGGAUGGCACAAAUCGUCUUGUCUGAUGGUUCAUCUUUAAUGGAGCAGACAGAUUCAAUAUCAUCAUUUUCUUGAACCUUUACUCCUGAUUGUUUUACUAUUUGUGCAAUCUUCUUGGCUUGUUUCUUGUUCUUUGGACAAUUUUUUGAAAAAUGUCCCUUUUGGUUACAGAUGUAGCAACUGUCAGAUUUUGUUGACUUUCUUUUUUUCUUAAGAUAUCUCCAUCAAUGCCUUACUUUCUUUCUUCUUCUUGAAAUUGGAAAAGAAGAAUGUUUUUUUGAAAUGUUUCUUCUUCUUUGUGCGGCAAUCACACAGAUGGUCCUUUGGGCAUUUGUACUUCAAGUGGGAAUCAUCGCAGGCUCUAUCAAUUCUUUUGUCACCAUGGAGAUAAUCUUUGAAAAUCAUUCUUCUGUUGCAGAUAUCUUCUAGAGCAACGAAGACUUCUUGUUGGAGUUCUCCAACAGUGAUCUGAAGAAUAUCUUUGUUCUGUGUCUGGAGGGCUUAAUUAACUGCAACUUAGAUUGGAUUUGGAAGAGAUGAGAGGAUAACUGGCUUGAGUUUUGGAUUUAGUCCCAAAGCAUAAUAUAGCUUGGUCAUUAUUUUGAAAUGUUUCUCCAAAUCUCUCUUGACAUACGAAUAACAUUUUCUUUUGUAGAAUUCUCUUCUUUUUAAUGUCAGCAAAUCUUGAGGGUUUCUCACAAAAUGUUGAUGUAUGAUUCUGAUUGGCUAGGCCAGAUCUUGAAGAACUAGAAACUGCAUUUGGUCAUGCUGAUUAAUGAAAUUCCACCAAUCUCUCAACAUUCAUGUAAAUCUAGAGACAAACUCCAUAAGAAUGUCGUAAUUGCCAUCUUCUGUAAGCUUGUGAGUUUCUAACCAAGAAUGAAAUUCUUGAAUUCUGUCUGGCCAUUUUGCUGGUGGCAAAUCAUCUAUAGUGAAAGUGGUUUUUCCUAUGGAAGACUUUGGAAUUUGUCUCUGAUCUGCAGAAGAUGAUUCUGGCAUGUCUUGCAUUUCAUCAUCACUUGGUUCUUCAACUUUAGUUGUUUGAAAUGCUUUCUGCAAUUCUUCAUCUUCUAAUUCCGUUUUUUCAUUCGAUGAGUAUUCAGACUCUUUAAAUGAUUCAUCUGAUGAAUCUGAACUUUCUCCUGAAUCAGCUUCAGAACAUGAUUCUGGGUUUUGUAUAGUUGAGAUCUUAGGAAUAGAAGAUUUUAUAUAAUCCUUUAAAAAUUUUGUUAAAGGAUUUUGAUCUUCAUGUUGAAUCAUUAGAGAUUUUGAGACUUUCUUUGGAGGAGGAGAUUUCGGUGGAGACUCCUCUGAGACUGGUCUUUUUUCCAGUUUUUUCUCCAUCUGAUAUGCUUUACUUUCACUGUCUGUUUUGGCUUCUUCAGUAGCCAUUUUCUUUUUUUCUGCUUCUUGUUUUUUUAUUUCCAGAAAAAUUUUAUACGUACUUGGUUUGGUAUGUUUUGAAACUUCUGGAAAGGUUACUCGUACUCCUUCUACUCAAGGUGGAUUCUUCUGUCUAAUAGAGGGAAACAAUUCAAUUGUUUCUACUCUAUGAGUUAGUCCAGGGAUUUUCCCUGUUUCUUGAAGAGUCUUGAUUUGUUCUUUCAAUUUUUGAAUUUCUUUCUCUUUGUGCAAGAUGAGAGAAGAAAUCUUGUCUUGGUGCUGCUGGUUGUUUAGCUACUGCGUCCAAUCUUUUUUGUAAAAGUUGGAUCAGAUCUCUGACCAUCUUGGUGUUUUCAUCUAACUUGGUUUCAACAAUUGAGAUCUUUGAAUCAAUUCUUUUUAGAACAUGAUUCUGAGCAAUAGCAUUUUCUGUUUGCCAAUUGAGAGGAGCUUCUGCAGCACUUAUUUUGGAUGGUGCACCCGAAAUAUCAGUCUGAAUCUUUGAAGGGAUUUUUGGUGCAUGAGUAUAACUCUUUUCAGAGUAUUCUUCAAGAGGUGGGAAAUCUUUAUCAUAUGAUGCUGUAGGUUGCAUCAUACACAGUGGAAAUUGGUUUUUGUGGAGCAAGAAAGUCUGGGUUCUUCUUAACCCAUUUGUUUAUUUUCUUGUAACAGGGCUGAGGAAAAGGUUUUGAUUUCUUGAGGAUUUUUGCAGGAGACUGAGUGGAUAAUUUUGGAGGAGGAGGAGAGGGAGGUUUACAAGGUUCAGGUGGAACCUGUCUAUUUGGUAAAGAUUUGUGGGAUGAAUAAUCAACAAGGUAAACAUAUUUACCAUUAUCCUCUCUAAGUGGUCCAAUGUCUGGAUCUCCAUCCAUCCACCUUUUGUAAAACUCGUCCUGAGUUGAAUUUUUCUUUUUCUAUUUCUUUUUUCCCGACUCUGAUGCAGUUUUGUCCAUGCUAUCAACCCAAGCGGCCAAUCUGUCAUCUGUGCAUAAUUCACAUGAACAGUUUAAAGCCCAAGGACAAUGUCCAGUAACAGGGUCUUUAAACAUGUAUAAAGGUUUUCCAUCUGCGGAAAAACUUUUUAUUAGGCUUCUUUUUGGGCCGGGUUCACACAAUGGACAACAAUAGUCUAGAUCAUCUUGAUCAUGAAGUUGUGCUGGUUCUUCGUUUGGUUGUAUCAUCAACUGGGUUGGGAAAAUGUUGGGAUUUUUAGAGCUGUGAAGAUGACUAUGAUCAAACUUGAUUUCAGUCGUUCCAAGACUUCAUUUUCAAGAGAUUUAUGAAUCCAGGAUGUAGGAAAAGAACUGAGCUGGGUUGUUUUUCCACAUUUGACAAAGUAUUGAGGCUUAUAAAAGAUUAUAAUCAUAAAACUUCCAUAAUUACCUCUUGCCUGAUUACAGUGUUGCUCAAUAAUUUGAAGCCAUUGUGGGAGAGGAUGGAACCAACUAAGGAAAGGAAAGAAAUUUUAUUGUUCUAGUUCCAUGUUUCUUGUGAUGCCUUUUUUCAAGUAAUAAACGAGAUCAAGGGUGUCGAACUGUAUGGCAAUAUGGUAAAGAUGGGUGAAGUACCAUAAAAACCAUUUUAAUUCAUUUGGUUUAACAAAUCUAAACCUUAUUGGGUGUAUGAAAGGAUAAUCUGGAUGAAUACCCCAAGGUUUAAGAAUAAGUCCCCCAAAAUUCUUAAAAACUUGAAUCUGAUACUCAAACAUCAUGUCUUUAGCUUUCUGAUGAAAACAGUUUCUUUCUACAAGAGUAAAAACUUCUGGAGGAUAUUCAGGAUGGAGAUUAGGAGUGAUAGUGUAAGGGGUAGGAGAGGUAGAUGAUGAGGAAUAGGGCCGAUACAUCAUAAUUGGUCUAGGCCAAAAAAUUCUUUUAUAGGCGAAGACUUCUGGAAUUUCUUUGGGUCUAGAAAGUAGAUCAGCAAGAACAUUUUGCUUUCUUGGUAUAUGUUUGACAUCAAAACUAUAUUCAGAAAACCAUUCUGCCCAUAUUAAGAGUUUUGGGUGAGGGACAGUUUUCUGUUUGAACUUGAGCAUUUGUGGAAAUGAAGAUAUCCAUUUCUACCAAAAAGUGAUAACCCAGCAGAUGGAAUUUGAAUUUUGCCAUACCUUUCUUGACUGCAAGGAUCUCUUUGAAUGUGGAGUGGUAAUGAAUUCUGCUUCUGAUAAUCUCCCACUCUUGUAUCCACAGAAUUGUCUUUUGUCAUUUCUUUUUUCAAGCAAGAUUGCUCUCCAAUAUUUAUCACUGGCAUCUGUCUGUAGAAUUCUUUCUCCAUCUGAGGGGAUUUAAAGUGGAGGCAAAUUUUGGGUAAUUUCCUUCAAUUUUUGGAGGGCUUUUGUCUAGGAAGAAGACCAUGGAGGAGGGUCUAUUUUAAGUAGCUUUUGCAGGAGAUUAAUAUACUUAGAAACUUUAGGGAUAAAAUCUCUAAGAUAAUUAACAAUCCCAAUGAAUUGUUGGACCUGCUUGAAAGAUAAAUCUUUUGAAGGAAAUUUGAGAAGUUCUUAAGCAAUGUGUGGUCCUGGAGAAUAUUUUCCUUCUUUGAUAUCCUUUUCGAGAAACUGAAUUUCUAAUUUGUUGAUCUGUAUUUUUCUUUCUGACAGCAUUAUCCCAUAUUUGAAAAUAAGGGAUUUGAAUUCUUCAAGGAGUUCUGCAUGAGAAUCCUUAUCUUUGCUAUAGAGCAGAAUGUCGUCAAUGUAUACUAAAGCAUUUUCCAUCAAAGGAUGAAAAAUAUUUAUCAUUGCAUUCUGGAAUAGAGAAGGAGCAGUCUUUAAUCCAAACGGCAUGACUUUCCACUAAAAAUGUCCAUUAGGAAUACAAAAUCCUGUUUUUGGUCAGUCAUCAGGAUGAAUUCCUAAUUGCCAAAAACCUGCCUUGAGAUCAAACUUAGAAAAAACUCUUGCUUUGGCUAGAUUUGAGAAGAGUAAGUCUUUCUUUGGAUGAGGAAAUUUGUCAUCUUGGAGGAAAUGAUUAAGAGGCUUUUAAUUAAUUACUGAUCUUAACUUUCCUUUGAUUUGUUCAGAUCUUUUAUUUACAUAAAAGGCUUCACAUGCCCAUUGAGAAUCUGAGGGUUCAAUCAAAUCUUGAUGCUGUAACUGUUUACAUUCUUUUUCUGCUAGCAUCAGAUGAUCUGGAUUCAUUCCCUGGUGGCUGGCCUUUGUUGGAUUGAUGUCUUCAUUUUUCUUGAAAGGGAGUUUAAUGAAGAAAUCUGGGUUUUUCUACAAAGGAUUUGAGCAUUUAUUCAGGAAUUCAGAAUGAGAUUCUGCACAAGAUUGGGCUUUUAAUUCCUGGAUAAUGUGAAGGAUUUUUUUAGGUUGGAUGAAAAAAAGUUUUGGGAUUCUGUCAAAGGGUUGGAAAAGAUUUUUGAAUCUUACUCCUUCAGGGAGUAUUCUAAGAUGCUGGGCUUUUUUGUAGAGGUCAAAGCCUACUACAAUAUAUUUUCCAGGGAGUUUUGAUCCCAAUACUGCGGUUUUCACACAACAGCUUGGAAAGAAUUGGAUAGUAAUUAGUUUGCUUAUCACAUGAGUAGCAAAAGAAACAUCAGUAGCAGAAUCAAAAUACUUUGUGGGGUUUUCACCAUUCUUGAGGUAAAACGUCUGGGUUCAUGAUGGUUUCUGCUGCGCCGGUGUCUAUGAAGGCAAUUAUAGUAAUGGGCUUACUAUUGUCUAAAUAGAUUUUGACAGGUACAUGAGGAACUAGGACUGUGUUAAUGUUCUGUCAAUAGUCUGAGCUUUGGCUUGUAUCAUCUGUAUAUCGGAAUAGUCCAAUUCUGGUUCUGAAGAAUCAAAAGCAGGGAUGGCACAAAUCGUCUUGUCUGAUGGUUCACCUUCAAUGGAGCAGACAGAUUCAAUAUCAUCAUUUUCUUGAAUCUUUACUCCUGAUUGUUUUACUAUUUGUGCAAUUUUCUUGGCUUAUUUUUUGUUCUUUGGAUAAUUUUUUGAAAAAUGUCCCUUUUGGUUACAGAUGUAACAAUGGUCAGAUUUUGUUGACUUUCUUUUCUUCUUAAGAUAUCUCCAUCGAGGUCUUACUUUCUUUCUUCUUCUUGAAGUUGGAAAAGAAGAUUGUUUUUUGAAAUGUUUCUUCUUCUUUGUGCGGCAAUUACACAGAUGGUCCUUUAGGCAUUUGUACUUCAAGUGGGAAUCAUCGCAGGCUCUAUCAAUUUUUUUCUCACCAUAGAGAUAAUCUUUGAAUAUCAUUCUUCUGUUGCAGAUAUCUUCUAGAGCAACAAAGACUUCUUGUUGGAGUUCUCCAACAGUGAUCUGAAGAAUAUCUUUGUUCUGUGUCUGGAGGGCUUGAUUAACUGCAACUUGGAUUAGAUUUGGAAGAGAUGAGAGGAUAAUUGGCUUGAGAUUUGGAUUUAGUCCUAAAGCACAAUAUAGCUUGGUCAUUAUUUUGAAAUGUUUUUCUAAAUCUCUUUUAACAUACGAACAACAUUUUCUUUUGUAGAAUUCCCUUCUUUUUAAUUUUAGCAAAUCUUGAGGGUUUCCCACAAAAUGUUGAUGUAUGAUUCUGAUUGUCUGGGCCAGAUCUUGAAGAACUAGAAACUGCAUUUGGUCAUGCUGAUUAAUGGAAUUCCACCAAUCUCUCAACAUUUCUGUAAAUCUGGAGAGAAACUCUAUAAGAAUGUUGUAAUUGCUAUCUUCAGUAAGCUUGCGAGUUUCUAACCAAGAAUGAAAUUCUUAAAUUCUGUCUGGCCAUUUUGGUGGCGGCAAAUCAUCUAUAGUGAAAGUGGUUCUUCCUAUGGAAGACUUUGGCAUUUGCCUCUGAUGUGCAGAAGAUAAUUCUGGCAUGUCUUGCAUUUCAUCAUCAUUUGAUUUUUCAACUUUAGUUUUUUGAAAUGCUUUUUGUAAUCCUUCAUCUUCUGAUUCUAUUUUUUCGUCUGAUGAGGAUUCAGACUCUUUAGAUGAUUCAUCUGAACUUUCUCCUGAAUCAGCUUCAGAACAUGAUUCUGGGUUCAGAACACGAUUCUAGGUUUUGUAUAGUUGAGAUCUUAGGAAUAGAAGAUUUUGUAUAAUCCUUUAAAAAUUUUGUUAAAGGGUUUUGAUCUUCUUGCUGAAUCAUUAGAGAUUUCGAGACUUGCUUUGGAGGAGGAGAUUUUGGUGGAGAUUCCUCUGAUACUUGUAUUUUUCCCAAUUUUUUCUCCAUCUGAUAUACUUCAAUUUCACUGUCUGUUUUGGCUUCUUCAGUAGCCUUUUUCUUCUUUUCUGCUUCUUGUUUUUUGAUUUCUAGAAAAAUUUCAUACGUACUUGGUUUGGUACAUUUUGGAACUUCUGGAAAGGUUAUUCGUACUCCUUUUGCUAGGGGUGGAUUCUUCUGUCUGAUAGAGGGAAACAAUUCAGGAGAAAGUUCAGAUUCAUCAGAUGAAUCAUCUAAAGAGUCUGAAUCCUCAUCAGACGAAAAAAUAGAAUCAGAAGAUGAAGAAUUGUAGAAAGCAUUUUAAACAACUAAAGUUGAAGAACCAAGUGAUGAUGAAAUGUAAGACAUGCCAGAAUCAUCUUCUGCACAUCAGAGACAAAUGCUAAAGUCUUCCAUAGGAAGAACUACUUUCACUAUAGAUGAUUUGCCGCCACCAAAAUGGCCAGACAGAAUUCAAGAAUUUCAUUAGAACAACAAAAUUUCUUUACUUUCCUUAGUUGGUUUCAUCCUCUCCCACAAUGGCUUCAAAUUAUUGAGCAACACUAUAAUCAGGCAAGAGGUAAUUAUGGAAGUUAUAUGAUUAUAAUCUUCUAUAAGCCUCAAUACUUUGUCAAAUGUGAAAAAGUAACCCAACUCAAUUCCUUCCCUACAUCCUGGAUUCAUAAAUAUCUUGAAAAUGAAGUCUUUAAAUAUGAUGUUCAAUAUCGAGAAGUACAAAAGUUUCUCUGCCAGCUCAAUAGGAUUAUUCCAUUUGAGAUAUGUCCACCUCCAGAUAUUGAUGCACCAUGGGACACCUGGCCAAAGACACACACACCUCAUCAUGAAGCAGUCCUAAAAGCUCUCCGUGAAUAUCAUGAUGGAAUCUCUGACCCCACAGAAUGUCUCAAGAUUACCCGUGGUAAUAUAGUCAAAUCAGUCUUGCUAAGAUAGAAUUGCAUGAUGAAAAGGAGAAAGCAAAAGACGAAGAAAUAACCUGCUG